rnacentral:rRNA from 1 species
ACGGGAGGCAGCAGUGGGGAAUAUUGCACAAUGGGGGAAACCCUGAUGCAGCAACGCCGCGUGAAGGAAGAAGGUUUUCGGAUUGUAAACUUCUAUCGACAGGGACGAAGAAAGUGACGGUACCUGAAUAAGAAGCCCCGGCUAACUACGUGCCAGCAGCCGCGGUAAUACGUAGGGGGCAAGCGUUAUCCGGAAUUACUGGGUGUAAAGGGAGCGUAGGCGGCAUGGUAAGCCAGAUGUGAAAGCCCGGGGCUUAACUCCGAGGAUUGCAUUUGGAACUAUCAAGCUAGAGUACAGGAGAGGAAAGCGGAAUUCCUAGUGUAGCGGUGAAAUGCGUAGAUAUUAGGAAGAACACCAGUGGCGAAGGCGGCUUUCUGGACUGAAACUGACGCUGAGGCUCGAAAGCGUGGGGAGCAAACAGGAUUAGAUACCCUGGUAAGAUCGGAAGACCCUGGUA